rnacentral:rRNA from 1 species
GACGAACGCUGGCGGCGUGCUUAACACAUGCAAGUCGAACGGAAAGGCCCUGCUUUUGUGGGGUGCUCGAGUGGCGAACGGGUGAGUAACACGUGAGUAACCUGCCCUUGACUUUGGGAUAACUUCAGGAAACUGGGGCUAAUACCGGAUAGGAGCUCCUGCUGCAUGGUGGGGGUUGGAAAGUUUCGGCGGUUGGGGAUGGACUCGCGGCUUAUCAGCUUGUUGGUGGGGUAGUGGCUUACCAAGGCUUUGACGGGUAGCCGGCCUGGGAGGGUGACCGGCCACAUUGGGACUGGAUUACGGCCCAGACUCCUACGGGAGGCAGCAGUGGGGAAUAUUGCACAAUGGGCGGAAGCCUGAGGCAGCAACGCCGCGGGCGGGAUGACGGCCUUCGGGUUGUAAACCGCUUUCGCCUGUGACGAAGCGUGAGUGACGGUAAUGGGUAAAGAAGCACCGGCUAACUACGUG